AUUGGGAGUAGAGAGUGGUGGAGAGAAAGAGAGAAGGUCAGAGAGGUCAGUAAAGUCCAGACCAUGCACAGCUUCAGGUCAGGUGAAGAAUGGGAAGCUAUUGGCAGAUUUUAAGCAGGGGAAUGUCAUGAUCUAAUGUUUUCAAAAGACCACUCUAGCAGGAGUGUGGUGGAGUGAGAGUGGGUGUGGGAAGAGCAGUUAUAUGACCAUUUAAGCGAUCUUAGCAGACAUGAUGGCAGCUCUGCAAUGAAGACCAGGAGAUGAACACGGGAUACAUUUUGGAGUUGUAGCUGAUCGGGCAUACUGAUGGAUUAGAGGGGGGUAGCAGUAAGCAAGGAGACACAUCAAGGAGGCAAUUGGAUCUAAAAACUUUCAGCUUGAUGGAGAGGCCAGUGCUGGAUUUAUAAAUUGAGUAGCCGUUGGGUUAUUGCUAAUGUUUAAAGCUGUAAGACUGGGUCCAGGUUGAGAGUGUGGCUGAAGUGCACCUAGGACCCAGCCUUUGGGCACCUCACCACUGAGAGUUUGGAAAGAGAAAGCAGCCUGCAAAGAAGACUGAAGUGCUCCAGUGUGGAGAAAAACCACAGAAUAUGGCAUCCCGAAAGUCACGACAAUUUGAGUAGCUCAGCAGCCAUUCAUGGGCAGCAGCAGUUUGAUGAUGCAUUUUCAAGCCCCAGCAUCAUUUCAGGAGCUGAUUCUUGCCUGCCAAUCUACCCUACAAGUAAGGCUCUACCCUCCUUCUUCCAAAACAGAAGUCAGCCCUUGGGACCUUGUAGAUUAAAAGCAUUACACCUUUCAGUCUGGGCAUGGCGGCUCAUCCCUACAAUCCCAGCAUUUGGGGAGGCCAAGGCGGGUGAAUCACUUGAGGCCAGGAGUUCAAGACCAGCCUGACCAACAUGGUGAAUCCUGUCUCUACUAAAAAUACAAAAACUUAGCUGGGCAUAGUGCUGCGUGCCUGUGGUCCCAGCUACUCAGGAGGCUGAGGCACGAUAAUUGCUUGAACUCAGGAGGCAGAGAUUGCAGUGAGCUGAGAUCACACCACUGCACUCCCGCCUAGGUGACAGAGUAAGACUGGUCUUUGAAGAGUUCACCCAGGAGCUUCAAAAUGAGGAACAGUGCUUGCAAUUUCCUUGAAUACUAAGAACAUCCAGCUAUUUGUAGACAGAUAAAAGAGAGCAGCCCCCAGAGGUGCUGAUCCAGCCAAGAUAGCUCAUCCAGGUCUCAACAGGACUAAAGGACUUAUCCUAUGCCUAGUUUUUC
rnacentral:lncRNA from 1 species